rnacentral:miRNA from 1 species
UGUGUGUGUAUGUAUGUGUGUAUAUAUAUCUGUAUAUAUAUAUUGUAGAAUUCUAUUACACACACACACACACACACACACACACACACACG